CCUACGGGUGGCAGCAGUGGGGAAUAUUGCACAAUGGGGGAAACCCUGAUGCAGCGACGCCGCGUGGGUGACGAAGUAUUUCGGUAUGUAAAGCCCUAUCAGUAGGGAAGAAGAUGACAGUACCUGACUAAGAAGCCCCGGCUAACUACGUGCCAGCAGCCGCGGUAAUACGUAGGGGGCAAGCGUUAUCCGGAUUUACUGGGUGUAAAGGGGGCGUAGGUGGCAUGGCAAGCCAGAAGUGAAAACCCGGGGCUUAACCCCGCGGAUUGCUUUUGGAACUGUCAGGCUUGAGUGCAGGAGGGGCAGGCGGAAUUCCUGGUGUAGCGGUGAAAUGCGUAGAUAUCAGGAGGAACACCAGUGGCGAAGGCGGCCUGCUGGACUGUAACUGACACUGAGGCUCGAAAGCGUGGGGAGCAAACAGGAUUAGAUACCCCUGUAGUC
rnacentral:rRNA from 1 species